rnacentral:lncRNA from 1 species
UCUGCUGCCUCCCUGUAUACUGACUACCAUUUCUGUGAGAAUUUGCUCCUGUAACUGUCGCUGCUGUGGAAACUCUGUGCAAGUGGUGGUUCCGAAGGCGAUACUCUCGACUUAAAUCAAACGAUCAGCUCUAGCCAGCUACCCGCCACACUCACACCACCAAGAUGGUUGUCACAUCACGCAUGCUCGCCGCCCACACUAAUGGCUACCCCGUCGACGCCAAGGCCCGCUUCUGGUCAACCUACUACAGGUCUCUGAAAGACAUCACCAAAGUGGAGACCCGUCCCCGUGCAUCUGAGAUGAUCCCAAGGCCUCCCGCCCACUCCCCAACGUACACCUACUCAGGGCCUGCGGUCUACCCAAAGAGCACCUACCCCCUCGUCCUUAACACGAUAUCCCCCUCCGUCCGUCCCUCCUACUACCUGUAGAGCGGACUGGACUACCAACGUCUUGAGGGAGGAGGAGGAACCAGCUGCCCACGGUGACACCUAUACUGUCCACCGUACAGCUACCCGCUCAACAACCUCACCUGCUGUGGAUCAUACACGUUUCUAUUUAUUUAUAUAAAGAUUUGGAAAUGAAUAUAUCAUCAUUAUUCCCGACACGAAUAGAUCUUUUAUGGUUGACUUAACUUAAGGAGCUGCUUACGAUGGAGAAAUACCCGAUGUAACAACUCAUUUGUUUGAGAGAUUAUUAUUUUUGUCCCUCUUUGUAACGACGGAAUAUAUUCCUAAAUUUUCACAGAAUGUAAGUUAUUACUUCCAUUCCUACAAUAAUCUAUUGCUCGUGUGUGUAUAUAUACUCCCUUGUGACAUCCCUUCACAACAGCACACAUCGCUCGACACCUCAGUGUAACCAGUCUAUGAAGUUUGUCAAUGAUGGUCAGUGUUGUCGCCUCACAACAUGACAGCAGCGUCUUGUUUAGCAUUUCUACCAUAGCUGCCUCACGCACGUGGAGUUUUAUCAAUUAUUUCUUGUUUAUAAAACCGUGAAGCAUGUGUGGUGUACAUCCCCUGCCACCGCCCUCAGGGACCUUCUGCUGUGGCCACGCCGCCGUCGGGUAAGGUCUCCUGGAACGGGAGGUUUCUUCAAGAAUAUGGUUCAAAAUCAUCAUCAUCUGCAUCACUGUCAUUGUCAUCGUAACUUUGUAAACACAGACGGCUCAUUCAUGCUUUGGUUCUGCUGCUUUUAAGGUUUGUCUCUGUGAUAUUAUCUUGUGUUUUUACUCUGCAUAAUUUUCUCGUGGCCUGACAGUAUUUGUCGGUGCGGAAGUGGAGUGAUGCCCUCGAGGAUGGCCGAAUCAUGUAUCUAUUUUUUUUUUUUUGUCAUUUGCUCGACUUCGUUCAAUUUUAAAUCCAUUUUUCUCAUGCUAAUUUAUACACCUGUAUUCACCAACAUUUGUCAUGCUCACUUGAUAUUUUGUCUGUGAACAUCAUUCGAAUGUAUAUUGGCAAAAGUACAUGAAAGAAAAUUA